rnacentral:rRNA from 1 species
UACAGAGGGGCAAGCGUUAUCGGAAUUAUUGGGCGUAAAGGGCGCGUAGGCGGCUUUUCAAGUGACGGGUGAAAUCCCUCGGCUUAACCGAGGAACUGCCUGUCAGACUGGAAGGCUUGAGACCGGGAGAGGUGAGUGGAAUUCCCAGUGUAGCGGUGAAAUGCGUAGAUAUUGGGAGGAACACCAGUGGCGAAGGCGGCUCACUGGACCGGAACUGACGCUGAGGCGCGAAAGCGUGGGGAGCAAACAGG